GGCGGACGGGUGAGUAACGCGUGAGAAUCUGCCUUCAGGUCUGGGACAACCAUUGGAAACGGUGGCUAAUACCGGAUGUGCCUUCGGGUGAAAGGUUUACUGCCUGAAGAUGAGCUCGCGUCUGAUUAGCUAGUUGGUGGGGUAAGAGCCUACCAAGGCGACGAUCAGUAACUGGUCUGAGAGGAUGAUCAGUCACACUGGAACUGAGACACGGUCCAGACUCCUACGGGAGGCAGCAGUGGGGAAUUUUCCGCAAUGGGCGAAAGCCUGACGGAGCAAUACCGCGUGAGGGAGGAAGGCUCUUGGGUUGUAAACCUCUUUUCUCAAGGAAGAAGACAAUGACGGUACUUGAGGAAUAAGCAUCGGCUAACUCCGUGCCAGCAGCCGCGGUAAUACGGAGGAUGCAAGCGUUAUCCGGAAUGAUUGGGCGUAAAGCGUCCGCAGGUGGCUUUGUAAGUCUGCCGUUAAAGAGUCAUGCUCAACAUGAUCAAGGCGGUGGAAACUACUAGGCUAGAGUACGUUCGGGGCAGAGGGAAUUCCUGGUGUAGCGGUGAAAUGCGUAGAGAUCAGGAAGAACACCGGUGGCGAAGGCGCUCUGCUAGGCCGUAACUGACACUGAGGGACGAAAGCUAGGGGAGCGAAUGGGAUUAGAUACCCCAGUAGUCCUAACCGUAAACGAUGGAUACUAGGUGUUGCUUGUAUCGACCCGAGCAGUACCGUAGCUAACGCGUUAAGUAUCCCGCCUGGGGAGUACGCACGCAAGUGUGAAACUCAAAGGAAUUGACGGGGGCCCGCACAGCGGUGGAGUAUGUGGUUUAAUUCGAUGCAACGCGAAGAACCUUACCAGGACUUGACAUGUCGCGAAUUUCCUUGAAAGGGGAAAGUGCCUUUGGGAGCGCGAACACAGGUGGUGCAUGGCUGUCGUCAGCUCGUGUCGUGAGAUGUUGGGUUAAGUCCCGCAACGAGCGCAACCCUCGUUCUUAGUUGCCAGCAUUAGUUGGGCACUCUAGGGAGACUGCCGGUGACAAACCGGAGGAAGGUGGGGAUGACGUCAAGUCAGCAUGCCCCUUACGUCCUGGGCUACACACGUACUACAAUGCGACGAACAAAGGGCAGCUACACAGCAAUGUGAUGCAAAUCUCAGAAAUCGUCGCUCAGUUCAGAUCGCAGGCUGCAACUCGCCUGCGUGAAGUCGGAAUCGCUAGUAAUUGCAGGUCAGCAUACUGCAGUGAAUUCGUUCCCGGGCCUUGUACACACCGCCCGUCACACCAUGGAAGCUGGUAGUGCCCGAAGUCAUUACCCCAACGAC
rnacentral:rRNA from 1 species